UUCAAUAUUAUCCUUUAAUCAAGAAAAUAAUCUUGAUUACCAAAAGAGGCAUCAAACUAGAAACACACAUCCAAACAGUACUGGGCUCAGGAAUAUGGGAACCAGUCCACACGAAUGGGGGUGCAGGGAUAUCCCGUUUAGGUCUUAGGCACCAAGCAAGUCCAUACCCGAUCCACCAGCUUAAGCAAAAAAGAACAAUAAACAUCUCAUGCCAAGACGUGAGCUACAUCGACGGCUUUUACACAAACGGAAACCGGGAACGGCACGAUCCUCCUACCGUCAUCCUUUCGUACUUCACGACCUCCACGUUUGGAAUCAACGAUCAAUGCCAUGGAUUCACAUUUAGCAGCCGACUUCAAAUCUAAAUCGUCUUCAGAUAUCGUAUUCGGAAUCAACAUUUUCGAUAGACGAUUGCGGCGAACUCCAGAUCUGAACUCGAUUCAUCCCUCAGCCGUAAAUACCAAUAUAAAUCAAUCAAGAACAACAGACAUGAUAACUCGCAUGCGUGUGAAGCUAAGGCAAAGGUGGAAAGGAGAUAACGCUUACUCACCCGAUCGGGACCAGGUUGUUUCCGAGGUAGAAGACGUAGUUUUCGUCGGAAUCCAGAAAUGGUGGUUAAAGAUCCGCGAUGGUAGGAGAUGAUGACAAGAAAAGAGAUGGAUGAAGGUUGUUGUGAAUUGGAAAAUGGAUUGAUCGAAGGUUUUGGUUGAAGAAUUGGGAUUUUGUGAUGAGGCUAAAGAAUCUCGGUUGGGAAGAGGAGGUUGAAGUGGUGGUUAACGGUUUUUGUGAGUUUGUUACGGUUGUUGAAGGAAUUGAAGAGAGGAAGAAGAAGAAGGAUCUCGAUGAAGAGAAGUGAAUUGAUUUUUUAUAGAGUUAUGAGAGGGAUUGAAAGUUUGUUAGAAAAAAAUCUGUGUGAGAAAUUCUGUUAUCGAAAUGGCUUGUGCAGUUUGGCUUAAUUUUUCUGUUAUUUCUAUGCUUGGAUUGCGGUUUACCGGCUUGGCUCGUGUGCUUUGAAGCGUGUUGGCUAGCUUGGCAUGCGUUUCAGCUUUUUUCGCACCGCUUUGUGAAGCUUGCUGCUUGCGUUUGAUUAGCAGCUUUUGUACUGCGUUCCAAUUUGGUUGUGCUUAUUGAAAUAAACUAAAGUAAGUAGAUUAAUAAAAUUGGAUGAUGGAUUAUGAUUAA